GGGGCGGGGAUGCCGGCGCGGCUCCGGCGGCGCGGCCGAAGGAAGAAGGAAGGAUUCCUCCCGCUCCCAGACCGCGGCCGCGCCUCCGCGCCGCGGGGCUCUCCCGGCGAGCGGGGCCGGAGGAGAGAGGGGAUUAUUUCCCGCCGGCGGCGCAGGGGUCGCGGCGGGGCCGGGUUCGGGGGUCGCCGGUGGUGCCGGGGCCGGGAAGGGGCCGCGUGGGGACAGGAGCGGGCGGGGGGCCCGAGGCGGCGGCGGAGGGGGGCCGGGGGCCGGGGCCGGUCACGGUCACCCCGGGGGCGGUCACUUCGAGGGCGGAGCGGGGCCGGGGGGCCGAGCCCCGGCGGUGAAGACCGGUGCUGUCACAUCGAUGAAAUCGCACGAUGUGUGAACCCGUGCUGGUUUUUCUUUCUAAUUUUUUCUAAUAAUUCUUUCUAAUAUUUAUUUAUUUACCCUCUAAUAUUUUUUUAUUUACCUCUUUAAUGCAGUUCAUGUGUGUUGCCAAGUGCUCCCGUGUCACCGCCCAGUUUCUAUCAUAAUAUUCGCGUUUUAUCAGCUGAAUAAAAGGUUGAGAGGCCGAGACUGAGUUACAGUGUGGCAAUAGUCUUGCUACUAAAUCUGGAGAUGCAUUAGCGUGGUUUGUUUCUAUGAGAAUGCAUUUAAUGUUGUUGUGGCUGUACUUUAAUUAUGCGUUAAAGGUAUUUUUAAUGAUGCAGUGAUAACUUGUCGGUGUGAUUUCCUGACGUAGGGAAAAAAGUAUAAACUUAAAGCUACCAUUGCUAUAUCUUGUAGCCAAGUCUCAUGUUCCAACUAAGAGCGGCUGACACAAUCCAUUACCCUUUGUCACAUCUCAGCAAUUCUUCCCAAACUUUGCCCUGUCGGCUCUCUGCCCCAAGUUGGUUGGCUGAUUGAUUGAGGAAUGCUAGCUGGAAUGGUACAGCUGCUUUCUUACAGUGACAUUAAAGGGAGAUGACUACUCAUGUCCCUACUUGUGACUACAAAGUCACAAGUGUUUUAUGGUAGGUUUGUAACAUGAUGUAGUUAGCCAUGUUUGCAGGGUGCUAUUGCUUGAUCCUUGUCUCGAAAUCAGCCUGUUAUGGUCAAAUUAUAUACUUUUGAAAAACCUUUGAUUUACUUGCAUUUCCUAGAAUAUGUCGGGAUAAUAUUGUCCAGACUCUUCCUGCCUUGGGAAUAUUGGGGUCUUUGAAGAACUGUUUUUGUGGCAACUUUUGGCAGAUUACAAUCAAAAAUGGGAGAAAACAAGCUGUGACUCCUUUAUGCUUGCUGGUCUCUCUCUCUCCAAGAGUUGGAAAGAAAGAUCAGUAAGGAGAAGGUCAAAGCAAAGGUGGUUGACUGCCUGCAAGUGCCUCAACAAUUGAGGAUUUGUAAUCGCUCAGUUUAAUGUACACCAAAGAAUUCACAUAAGAAAACAUGCACAAAUUCCAGAGCCACAGGAAAAUCUUGAACCAACCUUUGUACUUUUUGGACACAAAAUCAAUAAGAAAACUUGCAGGAAGAUGGUAUUUGUUGUUUUAGUUCUUCUAAAGCUGGCUAUCUGAGGCUUUUUAGCUUUGUUUUGUACAGGUGUGAAGUUUGGGCAUAUGUGCAGGAUUAUGACUGCACAUGUCUGACAGUUCUUAACUACUAAUAGAGCCACUAAAAAUUUUAGUAAGCUGUUAUAGCUUUCAGGAAUGCUAAAUUGUUACAAGUGUCAUGAAGGUAACCACCUGAAAGGAAGAAAGAUUCCUUGUCAACACAGGUGAGAGGAGAAUUGUCUAAAGCACUUGACCUUUUUGUUUCUGUUAUUUGCAUGACUGCUGAUAAAGCUGCAUUUCAGAGGUUGCAUUAAAAGAAUGUAGGUUCACUUAGUCAAGCACUUAGAUAUUAGCAGAUGCAUGUAGUGAUUCUUUUUCCCCAUGCUGUCUGAAUGUUGGCUUGUUUUGGAUUAUUCCUCCUCUUGUAUUCUUGUGUUAUCCUUCUCUUCUGUUUUUAAUUUUAUUUUUUUUAUUUUUUUUACCCCCCCUCUCCAUAACUCCUAUGUCACAUUCAGUAUGUGGGUGCUUCUGGAUUAGAUGUGACGUGAUAAGGCAGGCAGUUGUUUGAGAUUGGUCCUGCAUUUGUUCUAGAAACUAUGUAUAAGGAAUUAGCUUAGACUAAUAUUAGCAUACAGAAUCAUAAAAUCAUAGCAUGCUUUUGGUUGAUUGAGACCUUAAAGAUCAUCUAGUUCCAACUACCCUGCCAAGGGCAGGUAUGCUACUUACUAGAUCAGGUUGCUCAGAGCCCCAUCCAACCUGGCUUUGAACACUUCCAGAGAUAGAGCACCCACAAUCUCUCCUUAUUGUAUGCUGUAUCCUUCCUUCUGUUGUAUCCUUCUUCAUAAUUUGUGUUUAUAAACAUAAGCUGUGGAGGGCAGCAAUGUAACCAAUGCAUUCAGAAUGUGCAACUUGGGCCAGUCUGAAGAUUCUUUUUAUGAGCCUACCAGUUUUUUGUUCUAGGAGAUUAUGCCUUUCUUCUUAAAAACCUAUUUUCCAAGUCAUAGUUUCAGGGGGAAAGGUCGUGUUUGGGCAGGAGGGAAGGGAUUCCUGGAGUGCAAAGUGGAUUGCAACAGAAAGGAAGGGAAUUAAGGAGUGGCGAAUUUGUAAACAAGGAAGGCAAAGCAGUUGCUUCUUCUACUGAAAUUGCUAAAAGGCUUUAGUAGAAACAGAAGCUCAAAAAGGAAACAGCUUUCACUAUCCAUGAAUUAACUCAGCUUAAAACCCACAUGGCUUCUGAGGUUGCUCCACACAGGUUUGAUGCUUCUUGCAAUCAUCUUUGUUAGUGCAAGUUCUUGGAAUUCAUUGCUUAAAAUCAGGCUCUUGGACUGUGGACUUCUGUAAUUCAUUAUUAUUACCUUACAGUGAGGGAUAAUGACAGUAUUACCUGUUGAGUGGUGAGCCAUGGGAAAGUAAAGACAGUUUAUUCAGAAGAAAAUAGCUUCUUAAAACUGUGUGGGUUUACAUGCUUAUAUUACUAUAGAAUCGUUUAGGUUGGAAAAGACCUCUAAAAUUAUAGAGUCCAACCAUUAACCCAGCACUGCCACCAUCACCAAAACAUGUCUUUAAGUGCCACAUCUACACAUCUUUUAAAUACCUCCAGGGAUGGUGACUCAACCUUUUCCCUGGGCAGCCUGAUCCAGUGCUUGACAAUUCUUUCUGUGAAGUUUUCCAAACAUCCAAUCUAAACCUCCCCUGGUGCAAUUUAGGCUGUGUCCUCUCAUCCUGUAGCUUGUUACUUGAGAGGUCAGACCACUCCCCACCUUGCUACAACCUCCUUUCAGGUAGUUGUAGAGACCAAAGAGUUCUCUGCUCACCCUCCUUUCCAGGCUAAACAACCACAGCCCCCUCAGCUGCUCCUUAUAAGAUCUGUGCUCCAGACCCUUCACCAGCUUUGUUGCUCUUUGGAUGCUCUCCAGCACCUCAGUGUCUUUCUUGUAUGUUAUGCCCAUCUCACCUAUGAAAUUUCUAGCUCAUGACAAGUAUUGCAGAUCACAUGUUUGGCCUCUUUAUCUUAUGGUGACAGUUACAUGCUUUCAGAUUUUUUUGGAAAGAGCAUUUUGACAGUUGCCUGUAUUGGCAAUGUUACUUUACACCAUUUAAAAUCAGUGUCUUUUUAAGUAUUUUUAGAAACAGGUCAGACAGAUUUGUGAUGCUUUUUCAGAAAAAUUAUGAAUAUAUAAUAUGUGUAGUGUGAAACACAGAGAAAAUGGGGUGACCUCUUUGGCAAUAUCCAGCUUGGAAACUUGUGCUUUAAUGUGAGGUUUAUAAUUUCCUUUGGUAUGAAUGUUCCAUAAAGAAAAGUAAGCUCUUUGUCUUCAUAAACACAUUAAGAAAAGCUUGCCUGGAAUCAAGGUAAUUUCAGAUAAAUUACACCUCUUGGAGUCUGUUCGCUCCUCUGCUGGAAAAAUAUAUAGGUGUCAUCUGUCAAGUACUCUGUUUCUUUUAUAUUAAACACAACUAGGCCUGCUGGGUGGUAAGUGGGAGGCUUAGAGUGGACAGGGUGAGAUUUAUUAUUUCUUUUAGACUGAUGGUUGUUGCUGUGUUUAAUUCAACAUUCUUGAAUUUUCCAAAGACUUCACAUUUUACUGGAACCAGUAGAAGAUGGUGAAAGUUGUGGGUUUUCUACAGUUCUAGAAAAUCAGGCCUUCAGUCUCAAGCUAGCACUUAUUAGUAUUUCUGAAUUCUAGUUUUAAUUUUUUAUUAAGUCAGAAAUUAGUAAAAAUUUGUUCUAUAGCUGACCAGUAAAAUGCAACAAUAAAGCAUUCGCUAACUGCCUUGCUGGUGUUAAUAUCCCCCACUGGAGAGUUGAGAUUUUUUUCUUUGUUUUCUUUAUUUUUAUAGGGCUGCCUUCCAGUUACAGCUUUCAAGAGUUAUCUGCUUUCCAGAUCUGAACGGAAUUCUUCUGCAUCAGGACAGUUGUCCCUUGCUGUUGUACUUGAAGAGGUGACCAUUUGCUAUUUGUGUUCCUGAGUUGUUUGGCUACUUCUGUUUAUUCCUCCCACUGUCAAAGAAUGCAACAAAGUUCUGUCUACACAGAAAAGAAAUGCUACAAGUAAUCCAGCCUGUUGACAGGAAGAUCAGUAAGUGGGAAAUAUGUGAUGAGAUGUUAGGCUCAAUAAAACUAUGAAAUGAA